rnacentral:rRNA from 1 species
GAUGAACGCUGGCGGCGUGCCUAAUACAUGCAAGUCGAGCGAACAGACGAGGAGCUUUCUCCUCUGACGUUAGCGGCUGACGGGUGAGUAACACGUGGAUAACCUACCUAUAAGACUGGGAUAACUUCGGGAAACCGGAGCUAAUACCGGAUAAUAUAUUGAACCGCAUGGUUCAAUAGUGAAAGACGGUUUUGCUGUCACUUAUAGAUGGAUCCGCGCCGCAUUAGCUAGUUGGUAAGGUAACGGCUUACCAAGGCAACGAUGCGUAGCCGACCUGAGAGGGUGAUCGGCCACACUGGAACUGAGACACGGUCCAGACUCCUACGGGAGGCAGCAGUAGGGAAUCUUCCGCAAUGGGCGAAAGCCUGACGGAGCAACGCCGCGUGAGUGAUGAAGGUCUUCGGAUCGUAAAACUCUGUUAUUAGGGAAGAACAAAUGUGUAAGUAACUAUGCACGUCUUGACGGUACCUAAUCAGAAAGCCACGGCUAACUACGUG